AAAAUGUAGGCUAGUUUAAGCCUUUAGACCCAUGAUCUAACGAAGCGUCUUAGCGCCUUUUUUGU
rnacentral:tRNA from 1 species